GAUCCUGGCUCAGGAUGAACGCUAGCUACAGGCUUAACACAUGCAAGUCGAGGGGCAGCAUGAGGUAGCAAUACCUUGAUGGCGACCGGCGCACGGGUGAGUAACGCGUAUGCAACCUGCCCGAUACCGGGGUAUAGCCCAUGGAAACGUGGAUUAACACCCCAUAGUACUUUUAUCCUGCAUGGGAUGUGAGUUAAAUGUUCAAGGUAUCGGAUGGGCAUGCGUCCUAUUAGUUAGG
rnacentral:rRNA from 1 species